AUGAUCCUCAUCGUUUUCACCGUGGAGAUUCUUAGCCACCACCGUGGAUUCAUCAACUCCACCUGUUCCUACUGCAUCAACCACGCUCCCUCUCAUCAUCACCCUCGUACUUCCACAGAUUCAGAUCCAACAAACCAGAAACGCGUCCCCACGGUGUUCUCUCCUGAAGCGUCAUUACCAGAUCUUACAUGUGCUCCUGAUCAAGCACGUGGUGCACCCCAUCUGUCAGCCGUCACAUCUUCAUCAGACUAUUAUCAUCAAAAUCCAACACACCAGAGCUUGCGCCUCUAA